rnacentral:tRNA from 1 species
GGGCGCGUAGCUCAGUUGGUUAGAGUGUCAGCUCGACAAGCUGAAAGUCGUGGGUUCGAUUCCCUCCGCGCCCACCA